rfam:Oryza rufipogon genomic scaffold, chr07
UAUAAGUGCAACCAUAAGUUUUCGUGUCCAAAUUUAAUCGUUCGUUUUAUCUAAAAAUUGUUUAUAAUUAGUAUUUUUAUUGUUAUGAGAUGAUAAAACAUGAAUAGUACUUUACUCAUGACUUAUGUUUUUAAAUUUUUUUCAAAAUUUUUUUAAAUAAGACAGACGGUUAAAGUUGGACGCGAAAAACCACGGCUGCACUUCUA